rnacentral:misc_RNA from 1 species
AACCUAGCACACCUGCGGUGUGUACCUGCGGAAGGAUCAUUACAGAGUUGCAAAACUCCCACAAACCAUCGCGAAUCUUACCCGUACGGUUGCCUCGGCGCUGGCGGUCCGGAAGGCCCUCGGGCCCCCGGACCCUCGGGUCUCCCGCUCGCGGGAGGCUGCCCGCCGGAGUGCCGAAACCAAACUCUUGAUAUUUUUAUGUCUCUCUGAGUAAACUUUUAAAUAAGUCAAAACUUUUAG